UUCAGACCACUCACUCUGGGAGAAAGCAACUGGCUAUGUCAUGAGGAAAUUGAAACCACCUAUGGAGAAAGGCCCACAUGGAAUUCUGUAAGUCUGCUACGGUGACAUUUCUGGUUAGGAGUCAGAGUGGAUGGGACACUGAGCAAUAAGGUAAGUAUUAGCAUGUGAGUAAGCCCUGGUUUGCCCAAGAUAGUUGUCAUUUAGGCUUCCUGUCCCAAUGUAAUCAUAAGUAGCAUUGUAUUAAUCCAUUCUUGCAUUGCUAUAAAGAAAUACCUGAGACUGGGUAAUUUAUAAAGAAAAGAGGUUAAUUGGCUCAUGGUUCUGCAGGAGGUACAGGAAGCAUCACACUGGUAUCUCCUUCUGGGGAGGCCUCUGGAAGCUUAAGGUCAUGGCAGGAGGCAAAGCAGGAGCAAGGGAGCCAGAGAGUUGCUACACACUUUUGAACAACCAGAUCUCAAGAGAACUCACUAUGGCGAGGACAGUACCAUGAGGAUGGCAUCCAAACUAUAUCAAGCAUCUUUGUCAUUCUCAGAAGUGUCCCUGUUUGGAUGAUAGGUUCCAAUAUCAUGCUACCUAUGGGGUAGGAUGGGGGGACCUAUGGGGUACUAAUCUCACCUAAUAUGUACAUAACACUUCACAGUUAUCUCUUAUAGUAUUCAAGCUGAGAAAGGAUGCAGAUCUUAAAAACAUGUGCUUUGGGUUAUUUAGUUAGUAUAGUGUAUUGGGAGCUCAAGCUCUGGAAUCAGAAAAAAACUGGGUCUGAAUCAAAGUUCAAGAGAUCUUGGCAAGUUCCUUUAUUCUUUGAGCCUUAAUGUGCUUAUUUGUAGAAAGGGAAAACUAAGAGUACCUCUCUCAAAGUGGUAGUUUUGGGAAUUAAAUGAGAUAAGCUAAUUUUUUAAUUUUUGACAUAUAAUAAUUGUACAUAUUUAUGAGGUGCAGAGUGAUAUUUGAUACAUGUAUAAAAUGUGUAAGGAUCACAUUAGGAUAAUUAGGAUAUCCGUCACCUCAUUUAUCAUUUAUUUGUGUUAUGAGCAUUCAAAAUCCUCCCUUCUAUCUUUUUGAAUAUAGAUAAUACAUUGUUACCUAUAUCCACCCCACAGCAUAAUAGAACACUAGAACUUAUUGCUUCUAUCUAGUAACUUUGGAGGUGACCUAGACUUCUAUUAGUUUCCUAAAACUGCUUUAAUAAAGUAUCAUAAACUGGGUGACUUAAAACAACUGAAAUUUAUUGUCUCACAGUUCUGAAGGCUAGGAGUCCCAAAUCAAGGCAAUAGCAGAGCCAUGCUCCCUCUGAAGCCUACAAGGGAGAAUCUUUCCUAGCUUCUUGUGGUUGGCUUGUAGAUGCAACACUACAAUCCUCCAUCUUCACAUGGCAUUUUCCCUGUGUCUCUACACACUGUUCCCUCUGUGCAUGUCUUGUCUGUGUCUGAGUUCAAAUUAUCCCCUCCGUUUUUUUUUUAUUAGGAUACCUAUCAUAUUGGAUUAGGGCCCACCCUAAUGGCCUCACCUUAACUUGACUACACGUGCACCUACAUCUAUUUCCAUAGAAGGUCACAUUCUAAGGUAGUAGGGGUUAGGACUUCAACAUCUCUUUUCAGGGAGACACAAUUUAAUCCAUAAUACUAUUUUUAAAGUAUUUAGUUAUUUGCUUGGCCUGUAAUAAGCUCUGAUUAAUGUUUUCUGCUGAUAUAUCCAAACAGAAAAAUACUUCGUUAGGCCAAAAUCAUAUAAGAUAGAGGGAAUUUUGGUGCAAGAGAAACUGCUAUUUGGCUUUAGAUAUUUAUUUUCUCUUCCUCCACCCUGAAAGAGACUCUGAUUUUGGUCUUGACUGUGGCUACCUGGAAAGAGAACUGAAAUAUACAUCCUUACUUGUAACCGGUUGUGGUCAUACAGCUAAGUUUGACCAAGAAGAAGAUGCAGGUGAACUGUAAGUCCUUAAUGAGAAGGAAAAUAAUGCCUUACCUUUCUUUUGCUCCUUCUCACUGGCCAGAAUGCAGAGACAUGAUGGCUGAAGCUGGAGCUUUUCCCUGAAGCAACCACCUGUUGGAAACUUCAUGUUGAAGAUGACUGAAUAAUAAGACAGAGGGGUCUGGGUCCCUGGUGGAUAUUCCAGAUCUGGGUGUUCGUGGAGAUAUGAGAAAGCAA
rnacentral:lncRNA from 1 species